rnacentral:rRNA from 1 species
UCGCCUGUUUAUCAAAAACAUCGCCUCUUGCCAAUAAUUGAAGUAUUAGAGGUCCCGCCUGCCCUGUGACCAAAGUGUUUAACGGCCGCGGUAUCCUGCCGUGCGAAGGUAGCGUAAUCAUUUGUCUUUUAAAUGAAGACCAGUAUGAAUGGCAUAACGAGGGUUUAACUGUCUCCUCCUCCCAGUCAAUGAAAUUGAUCUGCCCGUGCAGAAGCGGACAUAUAAACAUAAGACGAGAAGACCCUAUGGAGCUUUAGGCAAGAGUCACACAUGUACAGAAACCCGAAACAAUUAACAAAAUAUAAAGGGUUAACCUAAACUAAAUGUAAAAUGACUUAAAUGCCUUCGGUUGGGGCGACCAUGGAGGAAAAUAAAGCCUCCACAUGGAAUGGGGUAAUCCCCUAAACCAAGAAAGACAUUUCUAAGUAACAGAACAUCUGACCAAAUAUGACCCAGGAUUAUAUCCUGAUCAAUGAACCAAGUUACCCUAGGGAUAACAGCGCAAUCCUUUCCCAGAGUCCAUAUCGACGAAAGGGUUUACGACCUCGAUGUUGGAUCAGGACAUCCUAAUAGUGCAGCCGCUAUUAAGGGUUCGUUUGUUCAACGAUUAACAGUCCUACGUGAUCUGAGUUCAGACCGG